AUUGAACGCUGGCGGCAUGCUUUACACAUGCAAGUCGAACGGUAACAGGGUGCUUGCACCGCUGACGAGUGGCGAACGGGUGAGUAAUGCGUCGGAACGCACCGAGUAAUGGGGGAUAACGCAGCGAAAGCUGUGCUAAUACCGCAUACGCUCUGAGGAGGAAAGCGGGGGACCUUCGGGCCUCGCGUUAUUCGAGCGGCCGACGUCUGAUUAGCUAGUAGGUGAGGUAAGAGCUCACCUAGGCGACGAUCAGUAGCGGGUCUGAGAGGAUGAUCCGCCACACUGGGACUGAGACACGGCCCAGACUCCUACGGGAGGCAGCAGUGGGGAAUUUUGGACAAUGGGCGCAAGCCUGAUCCAGCCAUGCCGCGUGUCUGAAGAAGGCCUUCGGGUUGUAAAGGACUUUUGUCAGGGAGGAAAUCCUUAGCGCUAAUACCGUUGAGGGAUGACAGUACCUGAAGAAUAAGCACCGGCUAACUACGUGCCAGCCGCCGCAGUAA
rnacentral:rRNA from 1 species